rnacentral:rRNA from 1 species
AACGAACGCUGGCGGCAUGCCUAACACAAGCAAGUCGAACGAGACCUUCGGGUCUAGUGGCGCACGGGUGCGUAACGCGUGGGAAUCUGCCCUUCGGUUCGGAACAACAGUUAGAAAUGACUGCUAAUACCGGAUAAUGACGUAAGUCCAAAGAUUUAUCGCCGAAGGAUGAGCCCGCGUAAGAUUAGGUAGUUGGUGGGGUAAUGGCCUACCAAGCCGACGAUCUUUAGCUGGUCUGAGAGGAUGAUCAGCCACACUGGGACUGAGACACGGCCCAGACUCCUACGGGAGGCAGCAGUGGGGAAUAUUGGACAAUGGGCGAAAGCCUGAUCCAGCAAUGCCGCGUGAGUGAUGAAGGCCUUAGGGUUGUAAGACUCUUUUACCAGGGAUGAUAAUGACAGUACCUGGAGAAUAAGCUCCGGCUAACUCCGUGCCAGCAGCCGCGGUAAU